UACGUAGGGUGCGAGCGUUAAUCGGAAUUACUGGGCGUAAAGCGUGCGCAGGCGGUUUUGUAAGCCAGAUGUGAAAUCCCCGGGCUUAACCUGGGAAUGGCAUUUGGGACUGCAAGGCUUGAGUUUGGCAGAGGAGACUGGAAUUCCUGGUGUAGCAGUGAAAUGCGUAGAUAUCAGGAGGAAUACCGAUGGCGAAGGCAGGUCUCUGGGCUAGAACUGACGCUCAUGCACGAAAGCGUGGGGAGCAAACAGG
rnacentral:rRNA from 1 species